UAAGAAAUAACUGCCUCUCAAUAGUGCUCUUACAUCUACCGGGAACAUCUCUCACAAAGAUCUGUGAAACGCAGUUUCUUCCCAGCCUUGAUCUUGCUGAAGUAGAACUUCUGUUCUGCCGUGUCCUACAUUGCCCUAGAGUUGCAAGGCAAAAUGUCCUGCAUUGUUUCCUAAAGGCAGGCAAACCAGAAAGCAUCUUGCUUCCAGCUGGUUUGGAAGGUAAGAAGCAACUCACUCUCCACAGUGCUCUUAGAGCCUACCGUGAACAUCUCUUACAAAGGCCUGUGAAACGCACUUUCUUCCCAUCCCUGAUCUGGCUGAAGAAGACCUUCAGCUCUGUGGUGUAAUACAUUGCCCUAGAGGUGGAAGUCACAAAGCCCUGCCUGGCAAACUCAAGAGGAGACAGGCCACAGACUCUCUUGAUUCCAUCUCUUUUGCAAUUUGAGAAAGAUCUCACUUUUCCCUGGGCUGUUACAGCCUGCCGGGAACCUCUAAUACAAAGACCUGAAACACAGUUUGUUUCCAGCCCUGAUCUCACCCCGUAGGAACAUCUGCUCUGAGCCGUGUUCCACAUUGCUCUAGAGGUGGAAGUCUCACAGCGCUGAUUCAUUGCCUCCAAAGUAGACAGGCCACAAACCGUCUUGCUUGAAGCUUUUUGGGAAGCUAAGAAACAACAGGCUCUCCACAGUGCUCUUACACCCAACCAAAAAAUCUCUCACAAAGGCCUGUGAAACGCAGUUUCUUCCCAGCCCUGAUGUCGCUGAAGUAGAACUUCUGCUCUGCCGUGUCCUACAUUGCAUUACAGGUGCAAGGCAAAAAAUCCUGUCUUGAUUCCUCAACAGGAGCCAGGACAAAAAUUGUCUUGCUUCCAGUUCUUGGGGAAGCUAAGAAACAACUCGCUCUCCACAGAGCUCUUACAGCCUACCGGGAAAAUCUCUUACAAAGGCCUGUGAAACGCAGUUUCUUUCCAGCACUGAUUUCACUGAAGUAGAACUUCUGCUGUGCCGUGUCCUACAUUGCCCUAGAGGUGCAAGGCACAAUGGCCUGCCUGUCUUCCUUAAGAGGAGACAGGCCACAGGCUGUCUCGACUCAAGCUCUUUGGCAGGGUGAGAAAGAAGUCGCUUUCCACAGGGCUCUUACAGCCUACCGGGAACCUCUCAUUCAAAGGCCUGAAAUGCAGUUUGCAGCCAUGAUCUCACCGCCUCGGAACUUCUGCUCUAUGCCAUGUUCUACAUUGCUCUAGAGGUGGAAGACACAAAGCGCUGUGUCCUUGCCGCCAAAUGAGACAAGCCUCAAACGGCCUUGCUAUCAGCUAUUUCGGAAGCUAAGAAACACCUCGCUCGCCACAGUGCUCUUACAGCCUACCAGGAACAUCUCUCACAUAUCCUGUGAAACGCAGUUUCUUCCCAUCCAUGAUCUCAUUGAAGUAGAACUUCUGCUCUGCUGUGUAAUACAUUACCCUAGAGGUGGAAGUCACAAAGCGCUGAGUCAUUCCCACCAAAGGAGACAAGCCACAAACGGUCUUUCUUCCAGCUGUUUGGGAAGCUAAGAAACAAGUCACUCUCCACAGUGCUCUUACAGCCUACUGGGAACAUCUCUUACAAAGGCCUGUGAAAUGCAGUUUCUUCCCAGCCCUGAUAUCACUGAAGUGGAACUUUUGCUCUGUCGUGUCCUACAUUGCCCGAGACAUGCAAGGCACAAUUUCCUGGCUUGUUUCCUCAAGGGAAGGCAGGCCACAAAGCGUCUUGCUUCCACUCUCUGGGAAGCUAAGAAACAACUCGCUCUCCACAGUGCUCUUACAGCAUACCGGGAAGAUCUCUUACAAAGGCCUGUGAAACGCAGUUUCUUCCCAGUCCUGAUCUCGCUUAAGUUGAACUUCUGCUCUGCCGUGCAAUACAUUGCCCUAGAGGUGGAAGUCCCAAACCCUGCCUGGCAUCCUCAAGAGGAUACAGGCCACAGAUCAUCUUGCUUCCAGCUCUUUCGCAAUGUGAGAAGGAACUCGUUUUACACUGGGCUAUUACAGCCUACCGGAAACAUCUAAUAUAAAGACCUGUAAUGCAGUUUGUUUACAGCCCUGAUCUCGCAGCCUUGGAAAUUCAUCUCUAAGUCGUGUUCUACAUUGCUCUAGAGGUGGAAGUGACAAAGCGCUGAGUCUUUGCCGCCAAAGGACACAAGCCACAAAUGGUCUUGCUUCCAGCUCUUUGGGAAGCUAAGAAACAAAUCGCUCUCCACAAAGCUCUUACAGCCUACUGGGAACAUCUCUCACAAAGGCCUGUGAAAUGCAGUUCUUCCCAGCCCUGAUGUCGCUGAAGUAGAACUUCUGCUCUGCCGUUUCAUACAUUGCCCUAGAGUUGGAAGUCACAAUGACCUGCCUGACUUCCUUAAGAGGAGACAGGCGACAGACCGUCUCCUUCCAGCUCUUUGGCAAGGAGAGAAAGAACUCGCUUUCCUCAGGGCUCUUACAGCCUACCGGGAACCUCUCAUAAAACGGCCUGAAAUGCAGUUUGUUUCCACUCGUUAUCUAACUGCCUUGGAAGAUCUGCUCUAAGCCAUGUCCUACAUUGCUGUAGAGGUGGAAGACACCAAUCCUUGCAUCAUUUCCGCCAAAGGUGACAAGCCACAAGCGUCCUUGCUUACAGCUCUUAUGGAAGCUAAGAAACAAUUCGCUCUCCACAGUGCUCUUACAUCCUACUGGGAACAUCUCUCACAAAGGUCUGUGAAACCCAGUUUCUUUCCAGCCCUGAUGUCGCUGAAGUAGAACUUCUGCUCUGCUGUGUCCCACAUUGCCCUAUAGGUGGAAGUCACAAAGCCCUGUCUGGCUAUCUUAAGAGGAGACAGGCCACAGAAAGUCUUGCUUCCAGCUGUUUCAGAUUUGAGAAAGAACUCGCUUUCACCUGGGUUCCUACAGCCUACCCGGAACCUCUCAUACAAAGUCCUGAAACGCAGUUUGUUUCCAGCCCUGAUAUCUCUGCCUUGGAGCUAUUGCUCUACCCAUGUCCUACACUGCUCUAGAGGUGGAAGUGACAAAGCGCUGAGUCAUUGACCCCAAAGGAGACAAUCCACAAAUGGUCUUGCUUCCAGCUCUUGGGAAGCUAAGAAACAAGUCGCUCUCAACAGUGCUCUUACAGCCUACCUGGAGCAUCUCUCACAAAGGCCUGUGAAACGCAGUUUCUUUCCAGCCCUGAACUCGCUGAACUAGAACUUCUGCUCUGCCGUGUCCUACAUUGACCUAGAGUUGCAAGGCACAAAGUCCGGCCUUGUUUCUUCAAGGGGAGACAGGCCACAAAGCUUCUUGCAUACAGCACUUUGGGAAGCUAAGAAACUCCUCGUUCUACUCAGUGCUCUUACAGCCUACCGGGAACAUCACUCACACAGGCCUGUGAAACGCACUUUCUUCCCACGCCUGAUCUCACUGAAGUAGACCUUCUGCUCUGCCGUGUCCUACAUUGUGCAAGAGGUGGAAGUCACAAUGGCCUGCCUGACUUCCUUAAGAGGAGACAGGCCACAGACCCUCACAUACAGCUCUUUGGCAUGGUGAGAAAGAACUCACUUUCCACAGGGCUCUUACCGCCUACCAUGAACCUCUCAUACAAAGGCCUGAAAUGCAGUUUGUUUCCAGACAUGAUCUCACCGCCUUGGAACUUCAGCUCUCAGCCAUGUCCCACAUUGCUCUAGAGAUGGACGACACAAAGCGCUGAGUCAUUGCCACCAAAGGAGACAAACCACAAACGGUCUUGCUUCCAGCUCUUUGGGAAGCUAAGAAACAACUCGCUCUCCACAGUGCUCUUACAGCCUAGCAGGAACAUCUCUCACAAAGGCCUGUGAAAGGCCUUUUCUUCCCAGCCCUGAUCUCGCUGAAGUAGAACUUCUUCUCUGCAGGCUCGUACAUUGUCCUGUAGGUGCAAGGCACAAAGUCCUGCCUUGUUUCCUCAAGGGGAGACAGGUCACAAAGCCUCUUGCUUCCAGCUCUUUCACAACGUGACAAAUAACUCGCUUUCCCCUGGGCUCUUACAGUCUAUAGGCAAGUUCUGAUACAAAGACCUGAAAUGCAGUUUGUUUCCAUCCCAGUUCUGGGCGUCUUGGUACUUCUACUCGAAGUCAUGUCCUACAUUGCUCUAGAGGUGGAAGAGACAAAGCUAUGAGUCAUUACUUCGAAAGAAGACAAACCACAAACGGUCUCGCUUCCAGCUCUUUGGGAAGCUAAGAAACAACUCGGUCUCCACAGUACUCUUAAAGCCUACCGGGAACAUCUCUUACAAAGUCCUGAGAAACGCAGUUUCUUCCCAGCCCUGAUGUCGCUGAAGUAGAUCUUCUGCUCUGCAAUGUCCUACAUAGCUCUAGAGGUGGAAGUGACAAAGCUAUGAGUCAUUGCCUCCAAAGGAGACAAGCCACAAAGGGUCUUUCUUCCAGCUAUGGGAAGCUAACAAACAAUGGGCUCUCCAUAGUGCUCUUACAGCCUACCAGGCACAUCUCUUACAAAGGCCUGUGAAACGCAAUUUCUUUCCGUCCCUGAUAUCCCUGACGUAGAACUUCUGAGCUGCUGUGUCCUACAUUGCCCUAGAGGUCCAAGGCACAAAGUCAGGCCUUGUUUCCUCAGUGGAAGAGAGGUCACAAAGCUUCUCGUUUCCAGCUAUUUGGGAAGCUAAGAAAUAACUCGCUCUCCACAGUGCUCUUACAGCCUACUGGGAACAUCUCUUACAAAGGCCCGUGAAACACAGUUUCUUCCCAGCCACGAUCUCACUGAAGUAGAACUUCUGCUCUGCCGUGUAAUACAUUGGCCUAGUGGUGGAAGUCACAAAGCCCUGCCUGGCUUCCUUAAGCAGAGACAGGCCACAGACCAUCUUUCUUCCAGCUCUUUCACAAGGUGAGAAAGAACUCGCUUUCCCCUGGGCUCUAACAGCCUAUCGGGAAAUUCUGAUACAAAGACCUGAAGUACAGUUUGUUUCCACCCCAGUUCUCACCGCCUUGGAACUUCUGCUCUGCCAUGACCUACAAUGCUCAAGAGGUGGAAGUGACAAAGCUAUGAGUCAUUGCCUCCAAAGGAGACGAGCCACAAAUGGUCUCAAUUUCAGGUCUUUGGGAAGCUAAGAAACAACAUGCUCUCCACAGUGCUCUUAAAGCCUACUGGGAACGUCUCCUACAAAAGCCUGUGAAAUGCAGUUUCUUCCCAGCCCUGAUCUCGCUGAAGUAGAACUUCUGCUCUGCGAUGUAAUAGAUUUCCCUAGAGGUGGAAGUCACAAUGGCCUGCCUGCCUUCCUUAAGAGGAGACAGGCCAUAGACCAUCUCUCUUCCA
rnacentral:lncRNA from 1 species